rnacentral:snRNA from 1 species
GUGCUCACUUCAGCAGCAUAUACACUAUACGUUGGAAUGAUACAGAGAAGGUUAGCAUGACCCCUGCCCAAGAAUGACAUGCAAAUUCAUGAAGCAUUCCAUGUUUUU